AACGGUGUAGCUCAGUUGGCAGAGCACCAGGGCGUGAAGCCCUGCAUGUCGGCGGUUCGAUCCCGUCCACCGUUC
rnacentral:tRNA from 1 species